AGUGCUGUAGCUAAGUUAACUGUAUAGUAAUGUUAGCUACAAAGCAAACAAUAGUGAUGUCGCCUACUAUUUUAGUUUGUUUGUAAUAUUGUUAAUUUUGGGCCAAGAGGAAACUAUAGCUAGAUACUCUGUGAUUGAUUGUGUGAGUGCAUCACAUCAUCUUUUAGCAAGAUGGCGGUGCGCGUAUACUCAGCGAAUCGGUGUUGGUGCUCUCGCCGGGUUCAAGUCUGUUUUUUGGGGCAAAAGCGCAACCGAAGUCCCCUGGAGGCUCUAGCCUAUUUUUUGCUCUACCCUGCUGUGAGACAGGACGCACCGCGGCUCGCCAUUUGCAGCGUCUGAUAUACAGUAUUUUCUUGGCGAGCGAAUCUGGCAAGAAAGUACACUGAUAAUCUUUUAUAAACAAUAUAAAUAAAGGAUUACGUUAUUGAUAUAAAUGACCGAUUCUGUCAAAUGAUAAAAAAUGUAUCCCCUGCUUGCCAACCCUUUUGAUUUCCUUUCUCUCUCCCUUCUGUCUUCCUUGACAGACAGAUGAGGUUAUACAGUAUAUAUUGCAGUAUAUGUUAUAAGCUCUACAUGUGAUUAACCUAGCUAGUUACCUAUUUAUUAUAUACACAUAUCUGUAUUGCAUCUAACUUGUUAAAUACCUUCUUAUACUGCAAUGUUUGCACUGCCACUGUUUAGUGUUACUUGCCUCAUCCAUGUGCCUUUAUGUUAUUGUAGAUAGAGGACUGCGGAUUGAGCUUCAAACUUUAAGCCAGCAGAGCAAGGUUAUCAUUGGAGGAGAUAUGCGGGCAGAUUCUCCAGGCCAUUGUGCCAAAUCUGGAAGCUAUACUGUGAUGAAUCUUGAAACCAGCACAGUCAUCGAUAUCCAACUUGUGCAGGCGUGUAUAUUACCAAAGAUAUUUAAACCACCACUACUUAGUAGUGCAAAUGCAAUUGCAAAGCAUCCCUAAAAUAGUAAUCUGGCAUGACCUUGUAUGACAGCACAUUGGACUUAGGUUUUGCUCCAGCUAUUUCACUCAGUCUACCCUGUUUUCUAUCAACAGAUGAUUAACUGUGAUUCAAGCACUAAUGAUUAGUAACUGUUAAACAGACUGGUAGUUACUGUUAAAUGAAUAAGUAACGAAUGAGGAACUACUGGUUAGUUAAUGAUUAGUUACUGAAUGACGGACUCAAGCACUAAUGAUUAGUUAUUGAUAAACAGACUGUCUGUGUGUGUUACUGUAUUAAUGAAUCAUUAGGAAAUCUGUUCAUGGGAUUUAUAGUAAUAAAAAGAAUAGAGAUGACACAGGUUGAGUCUCAUAAUAUAUUUUAAUAAUGAUAUUCACAAAACAUUUACAUUGACAAACAAGGUAUAUUCUGUAGUAUUGACAUUGUUGAAGGCUUAAAAGCAAUUGUAUGCUGCUGCAGGGCAUGCUUUAAUCCUGCCACCCUGGGUUCCGUGCGCUGUUGAGCGGUAGUUAAAGACCAAAGAAGGAUUGAUCCUUACUUAGCUGCUACUUGUUAACGAGUGAUUACCUAACCAUUAUUUACCAUUACUGAAGCAUUGUGCGUACCUGGAGAUAAAGUGAGCUGUCAUACUGAGUGGUUAAUCAUUAACAAAUGAUUAGUAAAGCAUUCACUACCAUUUGUACUGAGUGGUGGUUAGUUAUUAACGAAUGAUUAGUUAAGCAUAACUAAUCAUUGGUUAAUGAUUAACCACCACUUAGUACCAAUGGUAGUGAAUGCUUAAAGGUCCCAUAUGGUGAAAAUGGGUUUUUAUGGGAUUCUGUGUGUCAUAUAGGCUCGGGGGUGUAAAUUAAAAGCUGUGAAAAUGUGAAAUCAUUCACUGCCGCCAUUUCUCCACCCCCCACACAACUAGACCAGCUAAACGGGCCAGUUAGAAUUUGAUGUAUUUGCUACGUAGAAACCGGGUAACCAAUGGGUGUCGUGUUCCAAAAAUCGACCUAGCCCCGCCCCCUUUCCCAACGUUUGCUUCCUGCCGCUGAGAAGAAUCCGAGACGAAGCGGGAGUCAUGUCUGGAGUUAAGUCGUCCCUGAAAACCAGGCAUGAGAAAUGCAUCAUUCCAGAGUAUCAAAUACAUCACUGCACUGCCUUCCAAAAGAAAAAGAUGUCGCCGACAAGUGGAUGGAUUUUAUUUUUGGAGACUUGCCUCAACCUGUGCCAAGUCAGGCUUUUCGGCUAUGUACUGCACAUUUUUCACUGAAGUUCGUACUGAAUCAGGGGCUAUAUGAUGCUGGAGUCAUAUCCAAACUACUAUUGAUGAAAGGAUCCAUUCCAACUAUUCGGGACCCUCUCCCAAGCAUUGAAAUGGGAGCCAUUAGACCUGUUUCCCAGGCCAGUACCUCCCGGAGUAUUGGCUGCCAAAAAGAUCUGUUGGAACCCAACUAUCCAAGGACACUCUUAAGACUCGCAUCAGAAGCAGAGCUUCUCAGACAACUGUGGUCUGUGAGAAUGUGUGGUCUCCCCCACUUCUCACCUCAACACCCUUGAAGCCCCUUCCACCCAAUAAGAGACCGUGACUGGAACUAGAGGAGGACGACGAUGAAUGGGAGGGCUCCAUUGAGGCUACUGACCCUAAUGACUCCACUUUCAUUCAAAGUGUAUCAAUGACAACAGAGUCAUCGACUGUAUCACAAGCCUCACCACCAUAUGAUGUACCUAAAUAUAUUGUAUAUGAAGACUGCCUCCUCGAGUUGUUUGAGUUAUGUCCAGUGUGCAGCUCCAUGUGUGAUGUCUGGAAGACUAUACGUGGGACUUUCCUUGCUGUUGAUCAGACGUGCCACCGUUGUGAGUUCAACAGACAGUGGAAGAGUCAACCGUUCAUUGGAAGUACACCUGAAUGCCAACCGGCCACAGUCAACAAGUGCUUUGGGAGAUCCUGCCUUUAAACUGGCCUUCCCUAAAGCGAAGAAAGGGGGAUACAGCCUCAAACGAAGGAAAAUUGAGCAUUACAUUACAUGUCAUUUAGCUGACG